AUUCCGACUCUUCGAAGUCCGACACUUUAAUAGUAACUGGGGAGCAAUUGCGUUCAGGGAGAUCGAGGACAGGUUUCCUGGUCAGAUCCUGACCUGUCCUCCCCGUAAGAGUACUCUCUCCCGGGAAGAGUUUUCUGAGGAGGCCCCCUUUGGAGGACAAUGUAUUAUUGAUGGAAGAGGACCCGCCAGUAACCUAUCCAAAAGUAUUGUCAUGGGAAUUAGGUGUGUGUGGGUUCCAGGAAGGGCGAGGGCUGACAGCGCACUACCGCAGUCCGAUGAAUGUUCUCACCACCGAACGUUGGGGCUUUUCAGCAUGUUGGAUUUUUAAACAUGUUCAGGUCGGAAAAUUAAAAGUGUAAUGUUAACAGUAAAGUUUAGCCUUUCAAGCUGGUUGAGGAAGUUCAGCCCACGAGUGAACUGGUACCUGUGAUGACAGUACUGAAUUUGAAGACAAAGAAGUAUCACAUUAGAACUGUAUAUUACUAGUCACUACUUCAGAAAGUAUUUUUACCUUAUUUUGGUAUGUUUAGUUAUUGCUAUGAUUUGUAUGACUUUUACAUAUGUUUGAAAAGUAACAGAAGCUAAAGGCCAUUGUACAAGUGGGUAACAGUCCCAUUUUACAUUUUCUUGCAUUUGGUUUGCCAUUCUGUAGCUGUGACUCCAGCUUGCUUUAGUUGAGCCUUGUCAUUCUUCACUCUCUGCAAACCAUUCCAUGGAUAUGUUUUUCUUCACAAAAUUAGUUUCAUUUUCUUUGUUUGAUUGAUGGUCACUGGCUACUGAAAUAAAAUAUGCAUUUUAAGGU
ensembl:processed_transcript tRNA methyltransferase 61B